rnacentral:misc_RNA from 1 species
CGAGCGAAAAACGGCGGGCGGGUUGGCCCGUAGAAGAGUGUGGAAAGGCCAGAAUGAGAGGAAAGGGGGGAUUGGUAGAGAGAAAGAGUUAGCCGGGAAGAAAGGAAACGUGAUAAAUCUCACCGCGAACAAUAAGUUAUCGUAAAGAAUCGUUUUCGCGUUUCGUGACAUGGCGAAAAGAACAAUGAUUUGUCGGGAAAAUUCUCCAAUUCCAUCUCCAAUUUCAGAAAUGCCCGUAGAGACACCGGAAUGGCUGAAUGUAUGCUUCGUGCAAAAGGCUCUGCGAAAAUCGGAGGAGGAUAACUCGAUCAACGUGAUUGAUAUAUUCACGAAACCGGCUACGAAUAAGGGUGACAACUACGGCAGUGAUAUGAUUAGGGCUUUAGUCGAAUACACGCAAGAUCAGGCCGGUCGUAAGAUCACGAAGAAAAAAUCAAUCAUCGUCAAGAUCGCGCCUAUCAACGACGGGAUACGCAAGGAUCUCAUCCUGAAUUCGUCGUUCUUCGAUACGGAAAUGUCGAUGAUGUCAAACACCUUGAUCAAAAUGAAUCAGUUGUUGAAAUUCAAACAUCUCCUAAGCGCCAAAUGUUUGUACACACAGAAGAGAGACAUACCGCUUCUGAUGCUCCAGGACCUCGCGCCUCUCGGUUUCCGUAUGGCCGAUCGGGAGGUUGGUCUCGACCUGGCUCACUGUAUAUUAGCGCUUCAAGGAUUGGCCAAAUUUCACGCGGCAUCUGUGGCUGUUUAUGAAAAGGAGCCGAGUCAAAAACAAUUGUAUGUAAGUGGAACGUUCAAUCCCGAGCACCCGAAGAACUUUCGUGACUACUUCAAGAACACUGUUCAGUCGUUAGGAAAAGAAAUAGAAACUUGGCCGGAAAUGGACCAAAAAUACACAAAAAAGAUUGUUAACAUCGCCAGUAGAACGUACGAGAUAGGGACGAAAGUAAGCAAGCCACGCGAAGGCGAUUUCUGCGUGAUCAACCACGGAGAUUUCUGGGUAAACAACAUGCUGUUCAAGUACAAUGAAGCUGGAAAACCAAUCGAUCAUAUUUUUGUGGACUUUCAAUUGGCUGUUUACACAUCGCCAGCGAUCGAUCUCCUCUAUUUCCUCAGCACAAGUCCCUCCGUGGAGACCAUUGAAGAUAACAAAGAUGUCCUGCUGGACGAGUACCUUAAAACACUAUCGUGCACUAUGAAAGAAAUUGGCUGCAAAACGCAGCCGCCUACCAUAGAAAAACUGAAAGACUCCUUGAAGGAAAGAGCUGCUUAUGGAAUGAUAGCUUCCUUCACGGUGUUGCCGAUAGUGUUGUGCGAGAAGGAAAAUAUAAGAGAUAUCGACGAGAUUAUCGGGGACGAUGGUCGUUACGAAAAUCUGAGUAUAAAGGGUGCACUUUUUCGUAAAAUAAUAUCGAAACGAAUACCCAUGUAUGAUGAAAUGGGUUUAUUGGACUUAUAACGACGUGCUCAAUCUUUCACGACAUAAAGGGGAAGAGCAAAUGUAUUAGAAGUGUAAUGAAUGAGCACGCGCCGAGAUGGUAUCGAAAAAGCAACGAAGCUGCUCGAGACAAGAGCGGCCCACGUGAUCUAACGACAGUUGCCAGCGUGCAAGAAGAAGAAGAAGAAGAAGGAGAACAAGCCGUCGGCGAAGUAAAACACAAAUAAGCUGGUGAGGCACCCGGGCGAAAGAGACGGGCCUAGGCGACAGAACGACGGCUGACGAGAAAUAUAAUCUAAUCGGAAACUUCAAGAUAGUACUUCAAGAUAGACCCGCUAAAUAUUCCCGCUGUGUCGUCGCUGCAAAUUCGAGUUCUCACAGAGAAUGUCUAAAAAUCUCCCUCAAACAAGCAGUAUCUGAUCUUGAAAUUUUCACGGAUCACGAAACUUAUAAAGCGCAAGUUGGAGGAACGAGAAUAGUUGCCUUCGCGGUAUUUCAUUUCAAGAUGAUACGUGCGCUCCAGUAGUAUUCUCCACAUGCAACAUUUUUCAUAGGCACAUCCCGCGACAUUUUUUAUCAAGCACGAGCGACGAACUUGCGUAAAAGAGCUGGAAAACUUUACGAGACGUUUCGUUCAGAGGACAAAGGUUAUCCGCGGAUGUCACUUUCCCCAUACUUAUCCGCAAAAAUGAUCGUAAUGCGGAUUAAACAUAAACCGCGGGAGCAGCUAUAGAAGGAAAAUCCAUGCGGUUUUUACGAUCUCAUCGGCAGCAGGCUCUGAUUUCUUCCCGUCUUUAUCACCGACGAAAGAAGCGUCCCAAUUUUAAAGAGCGAUCAUAAAAUGCGCGACUACUUUGUCACGCUUAUAUCAUCAACUCCCGCUUCAAUAUCCCACUUUCGACAGAGUCUCAACGCACGAUCAAGCGCGAGUUAUGAAGAUUCAGUUUCCGCGAAGAAACUAGUCGGGGGGCGUUCGCAGCCGCGGUGGAAUUUAACGCUCGCAGUCGCAAGGGCUUAACAUUCUACUCGCGAAGGGACGCCAUCGCUCCCCUUUUCCCAACAGUGCGGAUGUUUAGCUCCUUUCUUCCAUAUUUUUCGCGACAACGAUACCGCGACGAGGUCCUAACGAGGCAAGUUCGCUUAUAACCAGCGUUUAUGUCAAGAAUGCUUUUCGGGAACAUUCCGCUCGAGGGGUUAGUCCGCGAUAGAAAGUUCCCUGCGACUGGAGACCGCUGUAGUUUAAAGUUAAACUGCAGCAAGAACAUUGUUAUUGGGCAGCCCUGAGAUGGGCUGCUGUCAUCCGUCCGCGACGUCUGCCGCGCGCCUUUGCGAUUAUCGGCAAAUUCAGUUUUCUGGAUUGUUUGCGCGAUUUCAAGUGGCCAUAAUAUAUGGCGAUAAUACAUAG